UCAAAUUUAUAUGUACUUCAUGUUUUAUUGGAAAUUAUUUGUAACAGCAUACAGUAUAUGUGGGAUUCGACUAACUAAAGGCUAGUCUUCAUUUUCCUGGUGUGCGAAUGGAAUAAAAAGUAAUUAUGAAAAGUAUAGCGGCAUGCCAAGCAACAUGAUUUGUAUCUUCCGCAAAAACACAACUGAAUCGAGUCAAGUUCGAAUGGGAGCCAUGAAUUAAGACCCCAACCAGCCAAAUGCCAACCGACUUGAGGCCAAAACGCGAAGGCGAAGAGAAGAAGAUGAUGUUGGCCCGAAUGGAGCCAAGCGAGAAAAUGGAGCUGCAGUUGGCCCCCGUCAACUUGGCUCAGAUUGCUUGGCCCAAGGGCGCUAAGUUGCUGCUGUUCUAUUGGUUAAAAUCAAUCUUUUCUGGUGCCAGUCGGCUGCCUGUGGGGAUCUGUGCGGAUCUUGCCGAUGAUGAUCCGAAUUUAGCUGGAAGACUAUCUGCAGUUUUCUUAGCCAUGUGCAUGGGAUACUGUGAUAAUGGACUUGGCAAAAGCCGAACGCAAUCCAAAAUAAACUGAGCACCCGCAUGGCGCAUUUCUAAACUGAAAUAAAAUCUCAUUUACCUGCUUCAUAGGGUCACAUUUUCUUCAAUUCGGUUACCUAUAUGUAUGUGCACUGUAAAAG